CCUACGGGAGGCAGCAGUGGGGAAUAUUGCACAAUGGGCGCAAGCCUGAUGCAGCCAUGCCGCGUGUAUGAAGAAGGCCUUCGGGUUGUAAAGUACUUUCAGCGGGGAGGAAGGGAGUAAAGUUAAUACCUUUGCUCAUUGACGUUACCCGCAGAAGAAGCACCGGCUAACUCCGUGCCAGCAGCCGCGGUA
rnacentral:rRNA from 1 species